GUACUAAGUGUGGGUUUCCUUCCUUGGGAUCCGUGCCGUAGCUAACGCAUUAAGUACCCCGCCUGGGGAGUACGGCCGCAAGGCUAAGACUCAAAGAAAUUGACGGGGGCCCGCACAAGCGGCGGAGCAUGUGGAUUAAUUCGAUGCAACGCGAAGAACCUUACCUGGGUUUGACAUGCACAGGACGCCGGCAGAGAUGUCGGUUCCCUUGCGGCCUGUGUGCAGGUGGUGCAUGGCUGUCGUCAGCUCGUGUCGUGAGAUGUUGGGUUAAGUCCCGCAACGAGCGCAACCCUUGUCUCAUGUUGCCAGCGGGUAAUGCCGGGGACUCGUGAGAGACUGCCGGGGUCAACUCGGAGGAAGGUGGGGAUGACGUCAAGUCAUCAUGCCCCUUAUGUCCAGGGCUUCACACAUGCUACAAUGGCCGGUACAAAGGGCUGCGAUGCCGCGAGGUUAAGCGAAUCCUUUUAAAGCCGGUCUCAGUUCGGAUCGGGGUCUGCAACUCGACCCGUGAAGUCGGAGUC
rnacentral:rRNA from 1 species